rnacentral:tRNA from 1 species
GGGGUUGUGGCUCAGUGGUAGAGUGCUUGUUUAGCAUGUGCAAGGAACUGGGUUUGAUUCUCAGCACCACA